GCCAGUGUGAUGUAGUGGUUUGAACGUUGGACUAUGACUCUGGAGACCAGGGCUCAAAUCCCACGUUGGCC
rnacentral:tRNA from 1 species